rnacentral:rRNA from 1 species
UACGUAGGGGGCAAGCGUUGUCCGGAUUUAUUGGGCGUAAAGAGCGUGUAGGCGGCUUGGUAGGUCCGCUGUGAAAACUCGAGGCUCAACCUCGAGAUGUCGGCGGAAACCACUUGGCUAGAGUCCGGAAGAGGAGAGUGGAAUUCCUGGUGUAGCGGUGAAAUGCGCAGAUAUCAGGAAGAACACCUAUGGCGAAGGCAGCUCUCUGGGACGGUACUGACGCUGAGACGCGAAAGCGUGGGGAGCAAACAGG